rnacentral:rRNA from 1 species
UACAGAGGGGGCAAGCGUUGUUCGGAAUUACUGGGCGUAAAGGGCGCGUAGGCGGCCUGCUAAGUCGAACGUGAAAUCCCUGGGCUCAACCCAGGAACUGCGUCCGAUACUGGUUGGCUUGAAUCCGGGAGAGGGACGUGGAAUUCCAGGUGUAGCGGUGAAAUGCGCAGAUAUCGGGAAGAACACCCGUGGCGAAGGCGGCUCUCUGGGACGGUACUGACGCUGAGACGCGAAAGCGUGGGGAGCGAACAGG